GUUGGAUGUUGAAUGUUGGAAGACUUUGCGAGAAACUCGAGCAAGGAAUAGAUUAACACAUUGAACUAGGUUCUGUUGGGCUGGGUUUCCUCCUUUGUGGAGGUGGCCCAUUAGUUUCUAUUUAAUUAUUAAUUAAAUAAAGUAAAGCCUAUAUGAAUUAGGUUUAUAUGAAAGAUUUAGAGAUAUUUUUAUUCUAAAAAGUAUCAAGCAUUAAAGGGUUUUAACCCUUUUUAAUGUGACAACCGUACACACUAAGAAAAAAGUGAGAAGAAAAAUGUAAAAUUUGAAAAAAGAGGUAUAGUUUAAUUUUGAUCAUGAGGUUCUUUAGAAUUCGAUUUGUGGUUUGAUUUACUUGAAAUUUGACCAUCGUGUUUACAACACAUAAUUCUACAAUCUAAAUAGUGUAGAUUAGUUUUGGAGCUUUAUGUUAACAGGUUCUACUCGAUGAGAUCUCUUCUAUUUCAUAUUGCAAUUGUUUAGUUUCGAAAGUGGUUAUUCUUGAUGAUAUAUUUGCUAUGUAUCUCUAGUUAAUGACAAUUAGAGAAGAUUUUCGUAUGUUUCCAUUAUUUAUUUGAUAGUGAAAGUUUUGGAUGAACUCCGCUUCUAUGAUUUUUACUCUUAGCAUUGAAGGAGUUUUUUAUGGAAAAAUUUAAUAUUUUUAUGAUUGAUUGAUUAUUGCACUUAUUUUAUAUUACUCUAUAUUUUUUUUAUUGGUGUUCUUGGAAGGAAGGCCUUUGAUGCCGUCUCUCGUGCGUUCUCUAAGUAGAAGAUAAGGGUAAAUUUAUUAUACUACAUUUGAUGUUAAAUAUUUUAUCUGUAAAUAAGUUUUGUAUUCCAUCAUUAAAAAUUUUACCAUCAAUUAAGAACAGGACUUUAGACUUCUCUCCAUCGAGUCUCUAUCACACAAGUAUUUGCAUCUGAAACUGUGAAAUGAGGAACAACAUACUCCAACAUAUAUGAGAAUACACUGAUAAUUGAUUAUUAUACAUAUAUUAUUCAUGUUUAAACAUAAAACAAAAUUUAUUCUAGAAUCCAAAGGACCCAACUCUCCUUAGAGUACUACUGCCAGAGUGCGAUUUUGUUCACCCCCUUUAACGGGGGUGAACAAAAUUGCACUCCUACUGCCACACCAUUCUCUCUCUUAAUUAGUAAUAGAUACACUUUAGGUUUUGCCUAAACCAACCAAUAUCACCAAACCACACAGCAAACAGACAUGCUUUUCCAGUUCAGAUUCUUGUCCACAGACGACGGCGAAUCCUCUGUAAAUUAACCCUUCAAUUUUGAACCCAAAAUUACAAACCUCUGUGAUUCUAGUUCGUGAUCAAUCUUCGGAAUCUUCGCCAUAGACCCUCGAAUACUGAGGUUCAGUCCCAGCAUCUGGUGCAUGGAAAAUCAACGUCUCAGUCAUGGGAAACUCAACGCCCAAAUGAAUAUGGUGCGGACCAGCCGAAUAAACCGUCAUCUCAAGAUCAUCCUUGCGCCACAACAGCCAUAUCCCACCGGUGAAGCCUUCAGGAUCGGUAACAAACGGAUGGGGAAAACCAAUUUCCUCGGCAACUUGAUCCCCGUAGCUAGCGGAAGCCCUUGUUUCCAAAAGAAGUACGAUGGAUGGCUGGUAUUGCCGGCAGAGAUCCUUGAUAGUACGCAAGAACCUGGCGUGCCCAGCUCCACGGCAACUCCAAAUUAGAAGUUUCUUUGGGGGCUUCUGAAUCGAAUACUCCGUGUGAUCAAUCAUUUUAGGUAUGAAGCAUAUGUUGUGCCGGUUUAUGUUCCAAUAACAGAAUCCCGACAUGUUCACUUCCAUGUCAAGUCUGGGAAUCUUUGAAUCGAUGGCGACCACUUUCGGAUUGUUUCGUUCGACGAUGAGUUUCUCCAAGUCAACAGCUGGACUG